CGAUCUUCUGUAGCCUAGCCACCAGCCUCUCCCUGGGCUCCAAGGACAGACUCCCAGUGUGGUUAAGCUGCCCCAACAGGCUCACCAUGUUUGUGACUAACUUGAGUGGCACUGGGCUCUGCGUCAGUCCUAGGGAAGACUGGAAUGUGCAGGGUUUGGAGGUCACCUAGGCUGGCCAGCAACUUCUUAGGGGAAGUGAACUACUUGGGGUGUUCUUAGAGAUGGGUUGCUGCUGGGACCCGCUGCUCUUGGCCCCAGGUGCCAUGACACUGGUGAGGGUGUGGCUACUGGUGCUGUCGUUCAAUAUAGACCUGGCCCAGAAGAAUCUGGAAGAGGUGCCAGUGCAGCCGGACUUUGAUGCACAUAAGGUGGAAGGACGUUGGUUUACCAUCCAACUGGCCACAAGCCUCAGGGACCUAGUCUUGCCCACUGACCCCCUGAGACUUUCUCUCCACUCCAUUUGGACCAGAGACAAUGGGGAUGUGAACUUUGUGCUGUUUGAGAAGUGAGUCUAUGUGGUAACUCUUAUCUCAUGCCCAGAGCUCAAAGCAGUUAGUUAGCACUGGUGGCCAGAGGGACCGUGGUCCUUAGUCCUGGGGCUGAAGGCUGUAGCUUGCAAAAUGCAGGACCCAAGACUUAAGAGAAGAAGCUGGCAGGAAAAGGCAGGCACACAGCUAGCUGCCUAGUCUGACUGACACUCCCUUAGGAGCAGACUGUGUGGCCCUGCCUCUGGCCAUGGAGGGAACCUCAAGUCUGGUUCUACAAUCCUUGCUACAUUAGUGGUGGACUUACCUGAGCCUGGUGGCUCAUACCUUUCAUCCCAGCAUUUGUGAAGUAGAAGCUGGAUGGUCUGGAAUUUAAGGUCACCCUUAGCUAUAUAAUGAGUCCAAGACCAGGCUGCCCCAGGACACACAGACACUGUCUGGUGAGAGCAGAAACAGCCAGAGACAAUCAGGCCAGGGUCCUGGUGCCAACACCCAACGCUCAGAGGACAUUCUGGACUCAGCGUCUUCUGGGAGGUCUGGCUUCAUCCGAUUGUGAAUAAGACCCCAUCCCACUACUUCCUGCCUGUGGCUACCACCCUCUCUCUUCAUCUGUCUAACCCUAACAAAGGCUGUUCCCAGACACUGGGAGCUGAGAACCCUUAGGAGGCCUUCAGGGCUCUCAGCCAGGAUCACCA
rnacentral:lncRNA from 1 species